rnacentral:lncRNA from 1 species
CACCAGACUUGUUUGUGACUGCACCAGACUACUCGGAGUCUGAGAGGUUGGUGGUUCGAAUUCGAACAUUGGCUGUCAUACCAAAGACUUUAAUAAAUGAACUUUCUGCGAUUGAGAUCUCCAAUGCUCACCUGUAAAUCUCUGAUACUUUGAGAUUACUUGGAUUUGAACUUCACCUUUGAGCAAAACAAGACAACGGAAAGGACCACAGGCCCCUCCUUGGGAUGACCACCUCCGGAAGCCAAUUAUCUUGGUAGCGCAGCAACUUUUUAUCCCCGAUCACAUGCCGAUUCCGCCGAGGAUCCCAUGAAGCAUUGCUUGACCUUCAACGGUUCUGUUAUUGUUGUACAAAGAUGGAAAGUUUCUGCCCUCGACUCGACCAAGUUUGGGGUCAUUUGUGUGAAUUCUCACAACCUGGGAGCAACAGUUCCUUCCCAAGUCUUUCACGAACUGGCUGUCCAGUCCAUCUGACGUUUGACUGUUGCACGUGAUGUUUGGCCUGCUCUUGGUGAAAGACAUCUUCGAAACGUCCACCAACGACCAAUGCUGGCGGAUGGGCCCUCCGGCUUAACGUCCACACACAUCGUGAUGCCUCCUCGCCCUGCAUGCGGAGAACCAGGGUGGCAUCGGGAUUCCAGGGAUUCCCUGCAUGGGGAGAACCAGGGGGGG